rnacentral:rRNA from 1 species
AUCAUCGAAGAGCUGUUAGAUGAGUUGCACGGCGCUCAAUGGUUCUCCAAGCUGGAUCUUCGUGCUGGGUAUCACCAAAUCAAGUUGGCAGAAGGAGAAGAAUACAAGACGGCAUUUCAAACUCACUCAGGCCAUUUCGAGUUUUUGGUAGUCUCUUUUGGACUCGCAGGCGGUCCAGCCACGUUCAAUGGAGCCAUUCAUUUCACACUAAAUCCUCUCCUCAGACACUGCGUGCUCCUGUUCUUCGAUGACAUACUAGUUUUCAGCAGAACAUUGCAAGAUCACCUGGACCACUUGCGCCAAACCCUGGAGUUGCUGCAGCGAGAUCAUUGA